rnacentral:rRNA from 1 species
UACGAGGGGGGCAAGCGUUGUUCGGAAUUACUGGGCGUAAAGGGCUCGUAGGCGGCCAACUAAGUCGGAUGUGAAAUCCCCAGGCUUAACCUGGGAACUGCAUCCGAUACUGGAUGGCUUGAAUUCGGGAGAGGGAUGCAGAAUUCCUGGUGUAGAGGUGAAAUUCGUAGAUAUCAGGAGGAACACCAGUGGCGAAGGCGGCUUCCUGGACACCAACUGACGCUGAGACGCGAAAGCGUGGGGAGCAAACAGG